UACGUAGGGUGCAAGCGUUGUCCGGAAUUAUUGGGCGUAAAGAGCUCGUAGGCGGUUCGUCGCGUCGGCUGUGAAAUCCCGAGGCUCAACCUCGGGUCUGCAGUCGAUACGGGCGGACUGGAGUUCGGCAGGGGAGACUGGAAUUCCUGGUGUAGCGGUGAAAUGCGCAGAUAUCAGGAGGAACACCGGUGGCGAAGGCGGGUCUCUGGGCCGAUACUGACGCUGAGGAGCGAAAGCGUGGGGAG
rnacentral:rRNA from 1 species